AUUGAACGCUGGCGGCAUGCCUUACACAUGCAAGUCGAACGGCAGCACGGGAGCAAUCCUGGUGGCGAGUGGCGAACGGGUGAGUAAUAUAUCGGAACGUGCCCAGUCGUGGGGGAUAACGUAGCGAAAGCUACGCUAAUACCGCAUACGAUCCAUGGAUGAAAGCGGGGGAUCGCAAGACCUCGCGCGAUUGGAGCGGCCGAUAUCAGAUUAGGUAGUUGGUGGGGUAAAGGCCCACCAAGCCGACGAUCUGUAGCUGGUCUGAGAGGACGACCAGCCACCCUGGAACUGAGACACGGUCCAGACUCCUACGGGAGGCAGCAGUGGGGAAUUUUGGACAAUGGGCGCAAGCCUGAUCCAGCAAUGCCGCGUGCAGGAUGAAGGCCUUCGGGUUGUAAACUGCUUUUGUACGGAGCGAAACGGUCUCUUCUAAUACAGGGGGCUAAUGACGGUACCGUAAGAAUAAGCACCGGCUAACUACGUGCCAGCCGCCGCCGUAA
rnacentral:rRNA from 1 species